UUGGUGUUUAUUAUUUUUGUUUUAUGUAUGCUGUCGUAUAAUAUAUAUAUUUUUUUGUCUUUUUUUUUUUUACAUAGAAAGCAUGAAAUGGGCAUGCAGAUGAUCAGUAUUUGUGUACUUGCUGUCUUACUAGUAUGUAUAUUUUGAUGGUUUUUUUUUGUUUUUUUUUAUAAAUAUACAUAGAUGUAUAAAUACCAUAUAUAUAUUUUAAUUUUUAAGUGUUUUUUGCUUUAUCUGUGAUGUAGUUGUGUGCGUAGGUUGCAUUGUGUGAACGAGGGCAGGACGCGCGUUUUUUUGGUUUGCUGUGGUUUAGGUCUGUAUAAUUCAGGUUUAAGGGUAUGUUUUUGUUUUUGGGUAGGGAACUCUGCACUGACCGAAGAAUUCUUAGAUACCUUUCUCUUUCAGCUAGAUAUCGAACUAAAUGGCUUAGAUAGGCUUCAGACAGGCAAGGUGAUGGUUUGUACUUCUGUUUUACAGGUAUGUAUAUUUUGUUGUUUUAACAUGUUUUAUAAUAUGAAUUGAAUGUAUAAAUACCAUUUUUGUUUUUUAUUUUAGUUUUAUGUAUGCUGUUACAAUUUUUCAUUUUGUCUUUUUACACAAAGCUUCAACUUGAUGUAUGUGUGUGUUCGGGUGUUUUCAACAAUUUCAGUCAUAUAAACGACGAAGUGAAGUUCAGGCAUACAUGAUAUUGGACUAUUCUGGCUCAGAAGAACCUGGGGCACUUGUCACCAAUCCCAGAAGGAGCAAUUACUAGAGGUUGCGAAGGAUGAAGUUGAGGGUGAUGAGGAUGAUGAUAGUUCAAGAGCGAAAUAGUGGUUGACAUUAUGAUAUAGAGAAUGGAGCAAAAGCAGAUUGUAUACUUGUCAGAAUGAAGAUGACUUGAGAUGUUGAAGAAAAGUCCAGCUGCAAACUGUCAAGACAUGCAGUAAGGAUGUGGAUCUGUGGUAACUAAAGGUAAUGUCUCUGUGCGUUCACAGAGAGAAAUCAUUCAUUCAAAGUGAUACUGUAGAAAGAGAAAAAUGUUGAAUAACUUAAAAAAUCAGUUUCUUGGUUAAAAUCUUUGUUUAGGUCCACCUUUUCUCAAAAACUGUAAGAGCUAGUUUU
rnacentral:lncRNA from 1 species